rnacentral:rRNA from 1 species
GGGUGCUAACGUCCGUCGUGAAGAGGGAAACAACCCAGACCGCCAGCUAAGGUCCCAAAGUCAUGGUUAAGUGGGAAACGAUGUGGGAAGGCCCAGACAGCCAGGAUGUUGGCUUAGAAGCAGCCAUCAUUUAAAGAAAGCGUAAUAGCUCACUGGUCGAGUCGGCCUGCGCGGAAGAUGUAACGGGGCUAAACCAUGCACCGAAGCUGCGGCAGCGACACUGUGUGUUGUUGGGUAGGGGAGCGUUCUGUAAGCCUGUGAAGGUGUGUCGUGAGGCAUGCUGGAGGUAUCAGAAGUGCGAAUGCUGACAUAAGUAACGAUAAAGCGGGUGAAAAGCCCGCUCGCCGGAAGACCAAGGGUUCCUGUCCAACGUUAAUCGGGGCAGGGUGAGUCGACCCCUAAGGCGAGGCCGAAAGGCGUAGUCGAUGGGAAACGGGUUAAUAUUCCCGUACUUGGUGUUACUGCGAAGGGGGGACGGAGAAGGCUAUGUUGGCCGGGCGACGGUUGUCCCGGUUUAAGCGUGUAGGUGUGUGUUCCAGGUAAAUCCGGUUCACUUUAACACUGAGGCGUGACGACGAGGCACUACGGUGCUGAAGCAACAAAUGCCCUGCUUCCAGGAAAAGCCUCUAAGCAUCAGGUAACAUCAAAUCGUACCCCAAACCGACACAGGUGGUCAGGUAGAGAAUACCAAGGCGCUUGAGAGAACUCGGGUGAAGGAACUAGGCAAAAUGGUGCCGUAACUUCGGGAGAAGGCACGCUGACACGUAGGUGAAGUGAUUUACUCAUGGAGCUGAAGUCAGUCGAAGAUACCAGCUGGCUGCAACUGUUUAUUAAAAACACAGCACUGUGCAAACACGAAAGUGGACGUAUACGGUGUGACGCCUGCCCGGUGCCGGAAGGUUAAUUGAUGGGGUCAGCGCAAGCGAAGCUCCUGAUCGAAGCCCCGGUAAACGGCGGCCGUAACUAUAACGGUCCUAAGGUAGCGAAAUUCCUUGUCGGGUAAGUUCCGACCUGCACGAAUGGCGUAAUGAUGGCCAGGCUGUCUCCACCCGAGACUCAGUGAAAUUGAACUCGCUGUGAAGAUGCAGUGUACCCGCGGCAAGACGGAAAGACCCCGUGAACCUUUACUAUAGCUUGACACUGAACAUUGAGCCUUGAUGUGUAGGAUAGGUGGGAGGCUUUGAAGUGUGGACGCCAGUCUGCAUGGAGCCGACCUUGAAAUACCACCCUUUAAUGUUUGAUGUUCUAACGUGGACCCGUUACCCGGGUUGCGGACAGUGUCUGGUGGGUAGUUUGACUGGGGCGGUCUCCUCCUAAAGAGUAACGGAGGAGCACGAAGGUUGGCUAAUCCUGGUCGGACAUCAGGAGGUUAGUGCAAUGGCAUAAGCCAGCUUGACUGCGAGCGUGACGGCGCGAGCAGGUGCGAAAGCAGGUCAUAGUGAUCCGGUGGUUCUGAAUGGAAGGGCCAUCGCUCAACGGAUAAAAGGUACUCCGGGGAUAACAGGCUGAUACCGCCCAAGAGUUCAUAUCGACGGCGGUGUUUGGCACCUCGAUGUCGGCUCAUCACAUCCUGGGGCUGAAGUAGGUCCCAAGGGUAUGGCUGUUCGCCAUUUAAAGUGGUACGCGAGCUGGGUUUAGAACGUCGUGAGACAGUUCGGUCCCUAUCUGCCGUGGGCGCUGGAGAACUGAGGGGGGCUGCUCCUAGUACGAGAGGACCGGAGUGGACGCAUCACUGGUGUUCGGGUUGUCAUGCCAAUGGCACUGCCCGGUAGCUAAAUGCGGAAGAGAUAAGUGCUGAAAGCAUCUAAGCACGAAACUUGCCCCGA